rnacentral:rRNA from 1 species
GACGAACGCUGGCGGCGUGCUUAACACAUGCAAGUCGAACGGAAAGGCCAGUGCUUGCCCUGGUGCUCGAGUGGCGAACGGGUGAGUAACACGUGGGUGAUCUGCCUUGCACUCUGGGAUAAGCUUGGGAAACUGGGUCUAAUACCGGAUAGGAACCGUCUUUAGUGUGGUGGUUGGAAAGUUUUUUCGGUGCAAGAUGAGCUCGCGGCCUAUCAGCUUGUUGGUGGGGUAAUGGCCUACCAAGGCGUCGACGGGUAGCCGGCCUGAGAGGGUGUACGGCCAAAUUGGGGCUGAGAUACGGCCCAGACUCCUACGGGAGGCAGCAGUGGGGAAUAUUGCACAAUGGGCGGAAGCCUGAUGCAGCGACGCCGCGUGGGGGAUGACGGCCUUCGGGUUGGAAACUCCUUUCGACAGGGACGAAGCGUUAUGUGACGGUACCUGUAGAAGAAGCACCGGCUAACUACGUG